CCUACGGGAGGCUGCAGUGGGGAAUAUUGGACAAUGGGCGAAAGCCUGAUCCAGCCAUGCCGCGUGUGUGAAGAAGGCCUUCGGGUUGUAAAGCACUUUCAGUGGGGAAGAAAGCCUUGGGGCUAAUACCCUCGAGGAAGGACAUCACCCACAGAAGAAGCACCGGCUAACUCCGUGCCAGCAGCCGCGGUAAUACGGAGGGUGCGAGCGUUAAUCGGAAUUACUGGGCGUAAAGCGCGCGUAGGCGGUCUGAUAAGCCGGUUGUGAAAGCCCCGGGCUCAACCUGGGAACGGCAUCCGGAACUGGCAGGCUAGAGUGCAGGAGAGGAAGGUAGAAUUCCCGGUGUAGCGGUGAGAGGCGUAGAGAUCGGGAGGAAUACCAGUGGCGAAGGCGGCCUUCUGGACUGACACUGACGCUGAGGUGCGAAAGCGUGGGUAGCAAACAGGAUUAGAUACCCUGGUAGUC
rnacentral:rRNA from 1 species